rnacentral:rRNA from 1 species
UUCGGGAAACCGGAGCUAAUACCGGAUAAUAUAUUGAACCGCAUGGUUCAAUAGUGAAAGACGGUUUUGCUGUCACUUAUAGAUGGAUCCGCGCCGCAUUAGCUAGUUGGUAAGGUAACGGCUCACCAAGGCAACGAUGCGUAGCCGACCUGAGAGGGUGAUCGGCCACACUGGAACUGAGACACGGUCCAG